rnacentral:lncRNA from 1 species
GAAGAUAUUAGUGAAAUACAAGCAAAAAAACCAAAACAAAAAGAAUUGAACAAUAAUGCAACUGCACAUGGAUAUGAGUGUCCACUUUGCGAUAAAUAUCUAAAAACUUUAAGUGGGUUCCGUGGUCACACAUCGAAGCAACACGGAAGACAAGACUUAAAAGGUACAGUGUAUUUACUUUUCUUUGCAUUAUCAUAAAUACAAAUGUCAUAACCCUCGCCCUGAACGAAUGUAGGACAAAAAAGUCACAAUUCAGCUUUGAACAGGAA